rnacentral:rRNA from 1 species
UCGGGAAUUUUGGGCAAUGGGCGAAAGCCUGAUGCAGCAACGCCGCGUGUGCGAUGAAGGCCUUCGGGUCGUAAAGCACUUUUUGAGAGGAUGAGGAAGGACAGUACUCUCAGAAUAAGCCUCGGCUAACUACGUGCCAGCAGCCGCGGUAAAACGUAGGAGGCGAGCGUUAUCCGGAUUUACUGGGCGUAAAGCGCGUGCAGGCGGUAAGGAAAGUUGGAUGUGAAAGCUCCUGGCUUAACUGGGAGAGGUCGUUCAAAACUACCUAGCUAGAGUGUGGGAGAGNGAGGCGGAAUUCCGGGUGUAGUGGUGAAAUGCGUAGAUAUCCGGAGGAACACCAGUGGCGAAAGCGGCCUCCUGGCCCAAGACUGACGCUCAGACGCGAAAGCUAGGGUAGCAAACG